UCACUCGUUUGUCAGUCUGAAUAAUUUGCAACCACGAACGGUUGAUUGCUUAUAGUAAAUUUGCGUUUGGUUUUAAAGUGUUUUAAAAAGUUAUAAAAAGUGUUAAAUUAAUAAAUAACAAGUGAUCGCAGGACUGUGCUUUGCAAAUUGGUUAAGAUUAAUUGUGUUAAUAGUGAAUUUAGCUGUUUUCUGUGCGAAAAUGGAAGGGGUGCUCCGCUGGACAAGUGAUGGAUGUCUGUGAGACACUUUACAAAUAUGUACAUAUGUAUGUAUGUAUGUAAUAUGUGUACAUGUGAAUCUGGCUUAAGCUAUUCACAUACAUACAUGUACAUAAAUAUGGGAAAUCGCAUUUGCUUCGCUUUGGGAGGAAAAUCAAGGGCUGUUUCUUAAGUUUUCUUCAGUGAAUAUUAUUCAAAUGGUGAAUUUACCUAUUUUUGUAUGCUAAAAGACAUUUGAGCAAGUGGAAAUGAAAAUUUGAUGCAAAUCGGAAAGGAGACGUUUUGUGUGGAAAAGGAAAGUGUAAUAUGCUUUAAGAUGUAAAAUAUACCAACAGGAACCUGGAAUUAUAUGCAAAACUAAGGGUAUCGGAACGCAGGACAUCCGGAGAGCAGCGAAAACCCCGCUUAACAAGUGGUCUCCAAUGAUGCGCGAUGGAAGUUCACAUGGCCAACGGGAAUACUAUGGGAAUAGGAAUCGGAAUCGGAAUCGGAAUCGCAAUAGGAAUAGGAAUCGGAAUAGCAAUAGAGACUGAAAUAGAAACAAGAGGAGAGGAAAAAGAAAAAAGGGACAUCACUCCCCCCUCCUCUCCCCGGCCACAUUUGACAAAGUAAAUCAAGGAAAAUUAAAUGAAUUAUUGCCGCAAUAAAUGUGGGCGAAUGACAAUAUAAAUUGUGGAUGUCGCCACUUGAAAAGCACGAAAAAGAAGAUACAGAUGCCUUUGAACUUUGCGUCGAUGGAAAGGCGGUUUCUCUUUUGGUCGCCACUUCCUAGAUUUGAAUCUAAAUAGAACAGCUUCCUUGGACCGCAACACAAUCUAAUCAAAUGGCAGGCAUCAGGCAGGGCGGUUACCAUUAUCCAUCCAGCUAGCAGUUGCCGUUUUUUUCGGGAGGGAAACCCCUUUCCUGAUUUCACCCAACUUGCCAUCCAAUCUCUUGGCCAGGGAUCAUUAGGCGCUGAAUUGUGGAGCGGGUGGAUGUGAUACUGGGACAUUGAGAUACUAAGAUACUAAGGCAAGGGUUCAUUUGCACUGCAGCUUGGUUGCACUGGGAAAAUUUUAUAGUUCUUAGUGUCCGAAGUAAUAUAUUAAUGAAAAUAUCAUAAAAUGUAGCAUUAAGUUCUUACACGUCGGCUGUUUCCAGUGUAGAUCAGCGUAAGGAAGCCAUCACCUUCGCUGUUGCGGCUGCUCAUUUGCGUAAUGCACAAAUUUAAUUUACCAAAACGCAGCCCAAGUAAAAAGAUGCUGCCCGGCUUGGUGAACUUUCGCCACGGAACAUCAACCGGCGAAACUUGCUUAUCCGCAACGCAUUCUGUGUGGUCCGUCGUCCGUAGUCCAUCGUCCGUUGUCCGCUUUUCCCGCCUCUCCCACGAACCCACCAAGAAAAUGUAACCCAACUCCUCCUUCCCCUCCUUGAAUAUUCGUAGGAAAAAGCUUACGUUAAUUGUGUGUAUCCUCCAGCUGCGAGCCGUGAGUUGCAAGUGCUUGGCACCUCCUUUCCUUAACUCAGAAGAGGGGAGGGGUGGUGGUUGAGGUGGGGUUCUGCCUCAGAUGGUGACCCCAAACGGGGAGAUGCUGUCGAAAGGCCCAGGAGCCGGGCUCAUUUUAAUCAAUUUUUAAUUUAAAUUUAAUAGAGUAACACGCUUGGUGGCCUGGUGAAAUGGCAAGAGACACGAUGGCAAGGCAGGGGCGUUCGGUUCCGCGAGGGGGGUCUGCACAAGGGCGGGGUCUGCACAAGGGGGUGUCGCAAUACAUUGGUGUCAUUUUACACGCAUUCCUAGGUAAAUAAUCUUCAGAGCGUCACUAAUGCGAUGACUUUGUGGCGUUUUCUCUUACGACCAAAAGGGGGCGUACAGAAAAAGGGGGUUAUAAAAGAGGAGGCAGACGGGUUGGCAAUGUAAAUUUGCGCGUCAUUUCGGUUCGUGGGGCAAAUGUGGGUUAAGGUGUCACAGAGCAACGAACGGGCGAUAUUUAAAGGAUUAAGUGAUUUCCCAGAAAUUAACACAAGUGAUGGAGUAGAGUGGGCGUGGGUGGUGUCUCCCAUCGAUUUGGCCUUGCUGUUAGAUGGGUGGAUUGUUGGGUUUGGGUUUGGGUGUUCAAAUAGCUGUUUCUUGUGGGUGGUCGGUGGGUGCUGUUUCUCGGGCGUUUUGCGGCCAGCCGGCAAAUUGCGUGUUAUUUUGACCAUUAUGCUUGGGGGGCUUAACGUAAUUCAAUUUAUGGCCUUGGUAAGUCCCUGGCUCUUACCCAAACCCCUCCACUAGCAAAGCCGAACGUCCCUCUCUUUCGCCACCAAGGCUGCCGCUGUCAAUUGGUUAUUUAUGCGCGCUUUUUAGAUUUUAGCGGUUAAUUAAAGCACAUUAUGCCUUAAUUGCUAGAUUAAAAUGCUCUUUUUUGCCUUCUCUUCA